GUGGAUAUAGCUCAGUGGUAAAGCACAUGCUUAGUAUGCAUGAGGUCCUGGGUUGAACCUCCAGUACCUGCA
rnacentral:tRNA from 1 species